rnacentral:snoRNA from 1 species
AUCCUUUUGUAGUUCGUAAGUAUGAUGACUGGGUGUUCAUGCUCUUGCGUGAGAUGUGCCUCCCACAAAUCUUGUUACAACAUCGGCACAUUACCCGUCUGACG